AUAUUGUCCUGUCACAGC
rnacentral:miRNA from 1 species